AUGUCGGCCGAGCUCUCAAGAGCGUCCGCGAGCCCUCCCCUCGGCCUAUAUAAGGACCCCCCGAGGUGUUCCGCAGCUCCCAAGCCUCUCCCCGUUCCUCAUUUGCCCCCGGAGUCCCCUAAUCUCGCCGGAGUUGGCCGUCGUCCACCAUGGCCGCCUCGGCCUCGGCUUGAUUCCGGCCAAAUCGAGCCUCCUCUCCUCCUCCUACCACGUCCACCGGGUCCCCCUCGUUCCACUCAGCCGCCCCACCCCCUUGCCCUCUCGCCGGAGUCGCCUGUUUCGCCAGAACACCACCUCGGCUGCCGCCCCUGGCCUCCUCUGGCGCCGCCUCUCCCGUCCACCUCACUCCUCCCCGGCGGCCGUGUCUCCCCUAAACGGAGGCGCCUCGGUCCCUCGCACCCGCCGGUGGCCUCGGCUCGGCCGGAGAUGGCCUGA
rnacentral:rRNA from 1 species